AUUGAACGCUGGCGGCAGGCCUAACACAUGCAAGUCGAGCGAGCGGCGGACGGGUGAGUAAUGUCUGGGAAACUGCCUGAUGGAGGGGGAUAACUACUGGAAACGGUAGCUAAUACCGCAUACCAUCAGAUGUGCCCAGGUGGGAUUAGCUGGUAGGUGGGGUAAUGGCUAACCUAGGCGACGAUCCCUAGCUGGUCUGAGAGGAGGACCAGCAAAACUGGAACUGAGACACGGUCCAGACUCCUACGGGAGGCGGCGGUGGGGGAUAUUGCACAUUGGGAGCAGGCGUGAUGAGGCCAUGCGGCGUGUGUGAGGAAGGCUUUCGGGUUGUAAAGCACUUUCAGCGGGAAGGAGUUAACCGCAGAAGAAGCACCGGCUAACUCCGUGCCAGCAGCCGCGGUAAUAC
rnacentral:rRNA from 1 species